AUGUUGUAUGAAAGGAGAGAAGGUUAGCACUCCCCUUGACAAGGAUGGAAGAGGCUUCGGCCUGCAACACGCAUACUUUCAAAUCUAGAUGGGUAAAAUAUUCUUGAUGAGAUGCUCAUUUU